GCUCCUCCGAUCUUGGACGGCCAGGGGGAAUUUGUAUUGCGCCGCUAGAGGUGAAAUUCUUGGACCGGCGCAAGACGGACGAAAGCGAAAGCAUUUGCCAAGAAUGUUUUCAUUAAUUAAGAACGAAAGUCGGAGGUUCGAAGACGA